AACGAACGCUGGCGGCAUGCCUAACACAUGCAAGUCGAACGAGAUCUUCGGGUCUAGCGGCGCACGGGUGUGUAACGCGUGGGAAUCUGCCCUUUGGUUCGGAAUAACAGUUGGAAACGACUGCUAAUACCGGAUGAUGACGAAAGUCCAAAGAUUUAUCGCCAGAGGAUGAGCCCGCGUAGGAUUAGCUAGUUGGUGUGGUAAAGGCGCACCAAGGCGGCGAUCCUUAGCUGGUCUGAGAGGAUGAUCAGCCACACUGGGACUGAGACACGGCCCAGACUCCUACGGGAGGCAGCAGUGGGGAAUAUUGGACAAUGGGCGAAAGCCUGAUCCAGCAAUGCCGCGUGAGUGAUGAAGGCCUUAGGGUUGUAAAGCUCUUUUACCCGGGAUGAUAAUGACAGUACCGGGAGAAUAAGCUCCGGCUAACUCCGUGCCAGCCGCCGCAGUAA
rnacentral:rRNA from 1 species